rnacentral:rRNA from 1 species
UACGUAGGUGGCAAGCGUUGUCCGGAAUUAUUGGGCGUAAAGCGCGCGCAGGCGGUCCCUUAAGUCUGAUGUGAAAGCCCACGGCUCAACCGUGGAGGGUCAUUGGAAACUGGGGACUUGAGUGCAGAAGAGGAAAGUGGAAUUCCAUGUGUAGCGGUGAAAUGCGUAGAGAUGUGGAGGAACACCAGUGGCGAAGGCGACUUUCUGGUCUGUAACUGACGCUGAGGCGCGAAAGCGUGGGGAGCAAACAGG